AGGAUCAUUAUCAUGUAGUUAUCCAGUCAUGCUGCUGCGUGAGCUGAAUAAACCCACCCUGCGUACGCUGUCCUGUUGCUUCCGCCGGGCGGCGGCGCAAAAGUUGCGCCCGGCGGAAGGUGAAAUAUAACCUCCGGGUUUUACGACCGAACCUGUCUGAAUGUGAAUCGGAACAACGGAAAUUUUUAAAACUUUCAGCAACGGAUCUCUUGGUUCUCGCAUCGAUGAAGAACGCAGCGAAAUGCGAUAAGUAGUGUGAAUUGCAGAAUUUAGUGAAUCAUCGAAUCUUUGAACGCACAUUGCGCCUCCUGGCAUUCCGGGAGGCAUGCCUGUUCGAGAGUCAUUGACAACCGAUCCGAAACACCCAUUUCUCCCCGCGUUCUUUCGAGGGGCUGUGUGGGCGUAUCGUUGUUGGUGGUGGAGAAUUCGGUUGCCGGGCUUGCCUGCCAAGUUUGGCAAAUCUGCUCCCCACUGAAAUCCGGCNACGGGCUUUGUCUUAAUUAUCGGUGGUGGGAUUGAAGGCGAUAUAAAUGCUCCCCGGCCCCCCGGGCAGAUUUUNCCGAUCCCCUCAACUUCCAGGCCGAACGGUGUAGGAAGAACCGGUUGCCAGCCCCAAGCCACGGUGCUUUUCAAUUCAAUGGUGACCUCGGAUCAGGUAGGGAUACCCGCUGAACUUAAGCAUAUCAAUAAGCGGAGGAAAAGAAACCAACAGGGAUUGCCUCAGUAACUGCGAGUGAAGUGGCAAAAGCUCAAAAUUGAAAUCCGGUGCCCUUUGGUGCCUGAGUUGUAAUUUGGAGAGACAAAUUUGGUUGACGGCGCCGGCCUAGGUUCCUUUGAACAGGACAACGUAGAGGGUGAGAAUCCCGUGCCUGGCUGGGGUGACCGUCUCGUUUCUAAAUUGUCUUCGACGAGUCGAGUUGUUUGGGAAUGCAGCUCAAAAUGGGUGGUAAAUGUCAUCUAAAGCUAAAUAUUGGCGAGAGACCGAUAGCGCACAAGUAGAGUGAUCGAAAGAUGAAAAGCACUUUGAAAAGAGAGUCAAAAAGUACGUGAAAUUGCUGAAAGGGAAGCGCUUGAGACCAGACUCGAACCGUGGUGAUCAGCCGCGCUUCUGCGCGGUGUCACUUGCCACGGUUUGGGCCAGCAUCGGUUCUGGCGGUCGGAUAAAAGGUGGAGGAAUGUAGCUUCCUUCGGGGAGUGUUAUUAGCCCCCACCACAAUGCGGCCAGCCGGGA
rnacentral:rRNA from 1 species